rnacentral:rRNA from 1 species
UACAGAGGUCUCAAGCGUUGUUCGGAUUCAUUGGGCGUAAAGGGCGCGUAGGCUGCGGGGCAAGUCGGGUGUGAAAUCUCAGAGCUCAACUCUGAAACUGCACUCGAUACUGCUUUGCUCGAGGACUGGAGAGGAGAUUGGAAUUCACGGUGUAGCAGUGAAAUGCGUAGAUAUCGGGAGGAACAUCAGUGGCGAAGGCGGCUACCUGGCCCAAUACUGACACUCAGGUGCGACAGCGUGGGGAGCAAACAGG